rnacentral:rRNA from 1 species
ACAGCAGUCGCCGCGGUAAUACGUAGGUGGCAAGCGUUGUCCGGAAUUAUUGGGCGUAAAGGGCUCGCAGGCGGUUUCUUAAGUCUGAUGUGAAAGCCCCCGGCUCAACCGGGGAGGGUCAUUGGAAACUGGGAAACUUGAGUGCAGAAGAGGAGAGUGGAAUUCCACGUGUAGCGGUGAAAUGCGUAGAGAUGUGGGGGAACACCAGUGGCGAAGGCGACUCUCUGGUCUGCAACUGACGCUGAGGAGCGAAAGCGUGGGGAGCGAACAGGAUUAGAUACCCCUGUAGUCCCUGUCUCUUAUAC